rnacentral:rRNA from 1 species
UGGGGAAUUUUGGACAAUGGGCGAAAGCCUGAUCCAGCAAUGCCGCGUGUGUGAAGAAGGCCUUCGGGUUGUAAAGCACUUUUGUCCGGAAAGAAAUCCUUGGCUCUAAUACAGUCGGGGGAUGACGGUACCGGAAGAAUAAGCACCGGCUAACUACGUGCCAGCAGCCGCGGUAAUACGUAGGGUGCAAGCGUUAAUCGGAAUUACUGGGCGUAAAGCGUGCGCAGGCGGUUUGCUAAGACCGAUGUGAAAUCCCCGGGCUCAACCUGGGAACUGCAUUGGUGACUGGCAGGCUAGAGUAUGGCAGAGGGGGGUAGAAUUCCACGUGUAGCAGUGAAAUGCGUAGAGAUGUGGAGGAAUACCGAUGGCGAAGGCAGCCCCCUGGGCCAAUACUGACGCUCAUGCACGAAAGCGUGGGGAGCAAACAGGAUUAGAUACCCUGGUAGUCCACGCCCUAAACGAUGUCAACUAGUUGUUGGGGAUUCAUUUCCUUAGUAACGUAGCUAACGCGUGAAGUUGACCGCCUGGGGAGUACGGUCGCAAGAUUAAAACUCAAAUGAAUUGACGGGGUCAUAGCUGUUUCCCU